rnacentral:rRNA from 1 species
GUGAACGCUGGCGGUAGGCCUAACACAUGCAAGUCGAACGGCAGCACAGUAAGAGCUUGCUCUUACGGGUGGCGAGUGGCGGACGGGUGAGGAAUACAUCGGAAUCUACUUUCUCGUGGGGGAUAACGUAGGGAAACUUACGCUAAUACCGCAUACGACCUACGGGUGAAAGCAGGGGAUCUUCGGACCUUGCGCGAUUGAAUGAGCCGAUGUCGGAUUAGCUAGUUGGCGGGGUAAAGGCCCACCAAGGCGACGAUCCGUAGCUGGUCUGAGAGGAUGAUCAGCCACACUGGAACUGAGACACGGUCCAGACUCCUACGGGAGGCAGCAGUGGGGAAUAUUGGACAAUGGGCGCAAGCCUGAUCCAGCCAUACCGCGUGGGUGAAGAAGGCCUUCGGGUUGUAAAGCCCUUUUGUUGGGAAAGAAAAGCAGCAGGUUAAUACCCCGCUGUUCUGACGGUACCCAAAGAAUAAGCACCGGCUAACUUCGUG